UAAUAAAAAUAAUGAUGAUGAUGAUGAUGACGAUGAUGAUGUUGAUCAUCAUCAUCAUCGUCAUCCUUGUUGUCGCCGUCAUCAUCAUCAUCAUAA
rnacentral:pre_miRNA from 1 species